UUUUGGUCGUUUAUCUUUGUUGUGGCAUUCCUGAUUUGCAUAAUGUUAAUUAUUCAAACUUUGGCAUUUAAUUGUGACAAUCACGAAGAUUGUACGUUGCUUUGUUACGACACAAUAGGAACGUGCGCUAAUGGAAGAUGUACUUGUACACGUUAACAAUAUUGGAUUCUGUAAAGGAUAAUCAUGUAUACUGAUUAAAUUAUUCUUAAAUCUU